AGAGUUUGAUCAUGGCUCAGGACGAACGCUGGCGGCGUGCUUAACACAUGCAAGUCGAGCGGUAAGGCCCUUCGGGGUACACGAGCGGCGAACGGGUGAGUAACACGUGGGUGACCUGCCCCCUACUCUGGGAUAAGCCUGGGAAACUGGGUCUAAUACCGGAUAUGACUGCUGGUUGCAUGACUGGUGGUGGAAAGUGUGUUCUUGAUUGAGCACUUCGGUGGGGGAUGGGCCCGCGGCCUAUCAGCUUGUUGGUGGGGUGAUGGCCUACCAAGGCGACGACGGGUAGCCGGCCUGAGAGGGCGACCGGCCACACUGGGACUGAGACACGGCCCAGACUCCUACGGGAGGCAGCAGUGGGGAAUAUUGCACAAUGGGCGGAAGCCUGAUGCAGCGACGCCGCGUGAGGGAUGACGGCCUUCGGGUUGUAAACCUCUUUCAGCAGGGACGAAGCGAAAGUGACGGUACCUGCAGAAGAAGCGCCGGCCAACUACGUGCCAGCAGCCGCGGUAAGACGUAGGGCGCGAGCGUUGUCCGGAUUUAUUGGGCGUAAAGAGCUCGUAGGCGGCUUGUCGCGUCGACUGUGAAAACCCGCGGCUCAACUGCGGGCUUGCAGCCGAUACGGGCAGGCUAGAGUUCGGUAGGGGAGACUGGAAUUCCUGGUGUAGCGGUGAAAUGCGCAGAUAUCAGGAGGAACACCGGUGGCGAAGGCGGGUCUCUGGGCCGAUACUGACGCUGAGGAGCGAAAGCGUGGGGAGCGAACAGGAUUAGAUACCCUGGUAGUCCACGCUGUAAACGUUGGGCGCUAGGUGUGGGGGACCUCUCCGGUCCUCUGUGCCGCAGCUAACGCAUUAAGCGCCCCGCCUGGGGAGUACGGCC
rnacentral:rRNA from 1 species